AAGCGUUGUCCGGAAUCACUGGGCGUAAAGGGUGCGUAGGCGGGUCUUUAAGUCAGGGGUGAAAUCCUGGAGCUCAACUCCAGAACUGCCCUUGAUACUGAGGAUCUUGAGUUCGGGAGAGGUGAGUGGAACUGCGAGUGUAGAGGUGAAAUUCGUAGAUAUUCGCAAGAACACCAGUGGCGAAGGCGGCUCACUGGCCCGAUACUGACGCUGAGGCACGAAAGCGUGGGGAGCAAACAGG
rnacentral:rRNA from 1 species